UCUUGUGGAUGAGCAAAGAAAGUGGUUUCUGGCGAUGGAAUCUACUGCUGGUCAAGAUGCUGUGAA
rnacentral:pre_miRNA from 1 species